rnacentral:ncRNA from 2 species
CGUAAAAUCUGAACCGUUGGUGCUUGCGGUGUGGUUCACACGCCGCAGUUCAACGGGAAGCAGGAGGGCGAGCCGAACCCGGCAAACCUAACCUGCGCUGCCCCCGCAACGGUAAGUGGACGAAUCGCUCGCGAUUCCGCUUUCAUCAAACAGCCACUGGACAUGUGAAUCAAGUGUCCGGGAAGGCGAUGAAGGUUGUUUCCACCAGCCCGGAUACCGGCCAACACGGUGGUUGCACG